rnacentral:rRNA from 1 species
GGGGAAUUUUGGACAAUGGGGGAAACCCUGAUCCAGCCAUCCCGCGUGUGCGAUGAAGGCCUUCGGGUUGUAAAGCACUUUUGGCAGGGAAGAAAAGGCUCUGGUUAAUACCUGGAGCUGCUGACGGUACCUGCAGAAUAAGCACCGGCUAACUACGUGCCAGCAGCCGCGGUAAUACGUAGGGUGCAAGCGUUAAUCGGAAUUACUGGGCGUAAAGCGUGCGCAGGCGGUUUGGCAAGAAGGAUGUGAAAUCCCGGGGCUUAACCUCGGAACUGCAUUCUUAACUGCCAGGCUAGAGUAUGUCAGAGGGGGGUAGAAUUCCGCGUGUAGCAGUGAAAUGCGUAGAGAUGCGGAGGAAUACCGAUGGCGAAGGCAGCCCCCUGGGAUAAUACUGACGCUCAUGCACGAAAGCGUGGGGAGCAAAC